rnacentral:rRNA from 1 species
UCCGCAAUGGGCGCAAGCCUGACGGGGCGACGCCGCGUGAACGAUGAAGGCCUUCGGGUUGUAAAGUUCUGUCACGGGGGAAGAACAACUACGGGUUAACAGCCCUGUAGUCUGACGUUACCCCGGAAGGAAGCCAUGGCUAACUCCGUGCCAGCAGCCGCGGUAAUACGGAGAUGGCAAGCGUUGCUCGGAUUUACUGGGCAUAAAGCGCACGUAGGCGGGCCUACAAGUCGGUUGUGAAAUCCUGGGGCUUAACCCCAGAACUGCGGCCGAUACUAUAGGCCUUGAGGGUGAGAGGGGAGAGUGGAACCUCUGGUGGAGCGGUGAAAUGCGUAGAUCUCAGAAGGAACACCGGUGGCGAAAGCGACUCUCUGGUUCACUACUGACGCUGAGGUGCGAAAGCUAGGGGAGCAAACGGGAUUAGAUACCCCGGUAGUCCUAGCCGUAAACGAUGGGCACUAAGUAGAGGGGUU